CCUACGGGAGGCAGCAGUGGGGAAUAUUGCACAAUGGGCGAAAGCCUGAUGCAGCGACGCCGCGUGAGGGAUGACGGCCUUCGGGUUGUAAACCUCUUUCAGCAGGGAAGAAGCGAAAGUGACGGUACCUGCAGAAGAAGCGCCGGCUAACUACGUGCCAGCAGCCGCGGUAAUACGUAGGGCGCAAGCGUUGUCCGGAAUUAUUGGGCGUAAAGAGCUCGUAGGCGGCUUGUCACGUCGGGUGUGAAAGCCCGGGGCUUAACCCCGGGUCUGCAUUCGAUACGGGCUAGCUAGAGUGUGGUAGGGGAGAUCGGAAUUCCUGGUGUAGCGGUGAAAUGCGCAGAUAUCAGGAGGAACACCGGUGGCGAAGGCGGAUCUCUGGGCCAUUACUGACGCUGAGGAGCGAAAGCGUGGGGAGCGAACAGGAUUAGAUACCCUGGUAGUCCACGCCGUAAACGGUGGGAACUAGGUGUUGGCGACAUCCACGUCGUCGUGCGCAGCACGCAUUAACGUUCCCGUCCGUCGGGUAGGUACGGCCGCGACGGACGUAAACGUUAAACGGUAAAGUUAGACGGCGUGAGACGUGCCGACGGACGACCGACGAGGGAGGUAGG
rnacentral:rRNA from 1 species